rnacentral:rRNA from 1 species
AUACGAAGGGGGCAAGCGUUGUUCGGAAUAACUGGGCGUAAAGCGCACGUAGGCGGAAUGUUAAGUUAGAGGUGAAAUCCCAGGGCUCAACCCUGGAACGGCCUUUAAUACUGGCAAUCUAGAGACCGAGAGAGGUGAGUGGAAUUCCGAGUGUAGAGGUGAAAUUCGUAGAUAUUCGGAGGAACACCAGUGGCGAAGGCGGCUCACUGGCUCGGUACUGACGCUGAGGUGCGAAAGCGUGGGGAGCAAACAGGAUUAGAAACCCUAGUAGUCC